ACCAUGGCAACCAUCAGCUGAUUUACCAACAAAAUGUCACAUGAAUCAUUGGCUCAAGCUGAACGAAACAACAUAACUUAUGAGAUGAAAUCCUUAAGAAUGUGGGCGUGGUUAACAAAAAAACUCCAGGACUCAGGAUGUCUGGCAGAAAUCAAGGCUGGACAUCAAAGUAAAAGAUGUGUUUGAGAGGGAGGAUGAUUACAUCUCACAUCUUGACAGGACACAGACCUCUGAGGAACACAGAAUGAAGAUCACACAAUCCCAGGAAUUCAGCCGCUGAAACGUCUGAGGACCGUUGGGAUUUUCCAAUGAGUCUGUGUCAUUUACAUUCAUUUUUACAUACAAAGCAUGAAAACCCCUAAUAAUAAACGUAUUGCACGUCUA